rnacentral:lncRNA from 1 species
UCAGCUUGUUCUACUGAAGCUGUUAUUACAGACCUGGCCUGAGGGCAGGUAUCACUCCUCACACACACACUCCUCCCCUCAUACCUGCCCCACCCAUCCAUCUGCUGCACCUUAGUCCCUCCCCAGGGGGUGUGGCUAAAACUGAAAUCUUAAAUGGGUGUUAACAUUAGCCAUAGAAUUUUCUCCUCCAUCACUACACACCUCCACUUCAGAUUAGCUCAAGAACAGUAGAGCGUAGAGGCUCAUGGAAUGGAGAGUUUGGGCUGCAUGAUAUUGGGAAAAAUCAGCAGGUACUUGUCUGACUACAUUGUGGCAAAUGUAAAGUUUGGUAGAGAGGGGAUCAUCAUUAAUUGUGGUAUGAAGUUGUAUUUUAUGAGUUUGGCUCCACCUCUUCAUUCCAGUGACAGUGACUCUUAAUGCUUUAGCAGAAUAAGAUUUUACACCAUUUCAUUCUCCCAACUUUGUGGAAACAGUUUGUGGACGACCUCUUCAGAAUCAGAACAGAGCUGAUUAGCAUGUCAGUAUAAAAGGUACAGUAGAAUGAGGAAUAUAAUCUCUUUAAUCAGUGUUAAGGUGGAAUUAAACGGUCCAAUCACAGUACGAGUUGAGUCUGGAUUGUCUCUUGUGGGUCUGUCCGUAUUUAACCCCCCCCCCCCGCUGUGCUGUACUGACCCCAGACCUGCAGUGUUAGCCCCCCCACAGUGUGACCGGCUAAUCCUGGGUUGUUAGCAUGUCAGGCUAAUCCCACAGUGCUGCGCUAAUCCAGCAUGGUGGACUGCUCUGUUGCAGCGGCGUCGGUGCAGACGGCUGAUGACCCGCGGUCCCGGACCCGCAGUACCGAGAUGGGCGAGUGGUGGACCCCGCCCAUGAUGCCGGACCCCUCCCUGGACACUAAAGAACUCUCCAGCAUUUCCCACAUUAGCUCCGCCUCCACCUCCGCCUCGGAUCCGCCCAAACACUCCUACAGCGUCCUCCACGCCUUCUGCACCGAGGAGAACAUCUCCCAGUGCAUCUCCUACAUCAACCAGGUCAGACCAGCUUCCUCACCGCCACCGACCCUCACCGCCACCGACCCUCACCGCCACCGACCCUCACCGCCACCGACCCUC